ACGCUGGCGGCAGGCCUAACACAUGCAAGUCGAGCGGUAGAGAGAAGCUUGCUUCUCUUGAGAGCGGCGGACGGGUGAGUAAUGCCUAGGAAUCUGCCUGGUAGUGGGGGAUAACGUCCGGAAACGGACGCUAAUACCGCAUACGUCCUACGGGAGAAAGCAGGGGACCUUCGGGCCUUGCGCUAUCAGAUGAGCCUAGGUCGGAUUAGCUAGUUGGUGGGGUAAUGGCUCACCAAGGCGACGAUCCGUAACUGGUCUGAGAGGAUGAUCAGUCACACUGGAACUGAGACACGGUCCAGACUCCUACGGGAGGCAGCAGUGGGGAAUAUUGGACAAUGGGCGAAAGCCUGAUCCAGCCAUGCCGCGUGUGUGAAGAAGGUCUUCGGAUUGUAAAGCACUUUAAGUUGGGAGGAAGGGCGGUAAAUUAAUACUUUGCUGUUUUGACGUUACCGACAGAAUAAGCACCGGCUAACUCUGUGCCAGCAGCCGCGGUAAUACAGAGGGUGCAAGCGUUAAUCGGAAUUACUGGGCGUAAAGCGCGCGUAGGUGGUUCGUUAAGUUGGAUGUGAAAUCCCCGGGCUCAACCUGGGAACUGCAUUCAAAACUGACGAGCUAGAGUAUGGUAGAGGGUGGUGGAAUUUCCUGUGUAGCGGUGAAAUGCGUAGAUAUAGGAAGGAACACCAGUGGCGAAGGCGACCACCUGGACUGAUACUGACACUGAGGUGCGAAAGCGUGGGGAGCAAAC
rnacentral:rRNA from 1 species